ACUGACUCAGUGGGCCCAUCCCUUGCUCACAGGACUAGCAUUUGGCUGCAUCUGUGGAGAGAGGGAAGGAUUCUAUUGUACUGCCUGUGGAAGCCCGCACUGAAGAAAGAGACUGAGAAUCAUCUCAAGAAAUCUAGGCUCUGGUUCCGUAUUGAUCAAAUUUGUGGGAUGGAAGUACAUAUUUACAUUUUGCUUUUCCCUGAGGCACAUUUUCUUAGUUAUUUUUAAUAAGAUUUCUCUUUUUCCAUCAUCUUUUCUCUUCCCCUAUUCUUUGGACACUUUAGCUUUCAUUAAAAUCCUUAGAUUUCUAUCCAGUUGUUCUUUUUUCAUUGAAAUCUAAUGAUAGAGAUAUAAUCCUAUCAGUUGAACAAACUGGAUCAGAUACACUUUUCUGCAUAUUGCUUAUUUAUUAUACGACUUCCUACGCCUUUUAAAAUAACACAUGUUUUAUGGGAUCUUUCUCCCGUGACUCAUUUUUGGAGCUGAUCCGAGAAGGAGUUAUUCUCCAGACGUGGCACCAUUGACCCUCAUUUUGAAUUACAUUUUUUAUUUAUUUUUCAAAAGAUAUUUCAUUCACAGAAUCCCCACUGAGCUUUUUAUUGUGGAAAAUUAGGGCCCGUAAAUCAUCCCCCUCAGAAAACUAUAAAUUUUACACAAUUGAAACAUUCCAUGGACUGAGCUUGGCACUUUGAUGAAAUCACUCCUUUGCUCCUCAUAAUUUAUGAGCUUCCCCCAUUCUCCUCCUGCCUCCAUCAUCACCUUGCCCUCCCAGCAAGAGUGGGGGUGGUAUCAUGCCUUUCAAUUGCUCACUGGGGUUUAUUGAGUAUAAUUUGUGAGCGAAUUUAUAUGAAUCCACAAUAUUGCAAUUUAUCCAAAAUUAUGAACAAUAAAACUUUUCAUUUUCUUCUGGCAGGCAGAGGGGACAUGGGUCGAUCACACAGGAGGUAGCUCAGCACAUGCACUGGGAAAGAACAGAGUCUCUGGAUCCAGAUGACAUGGGAUCUGCCAGUAGUUUCUUGUGAGGCCGAGGCCUCAGUUUCUUCACCUGUGGGUUCUUGAGGGCAGUCUUUAAGGUUCCUUUCAGCUCUCACCUGUUCUGAUUCUGUGGAUUGAACAUGGUUCUUGGCAUGUUGCUUCUUUUAAAGGAUAAUUAGGACAACCAACAGGCUGUAUCUCAAAGCUUUGCUGUGCUAUUUUGGAUGUGGAUUGUUAACUCUGGUUUUUCGGGGGAAAGGAGAGGAAGCACAAAGGUGGUAAAGAACAAAGCAGCCUGAUUCUCACCCGCCAGAUUCUGGGGGCUGGCCCCGUGGCCGAGUGGUUAAGUUCGUGCGCUCCACUGCAGGCGGCCCAGUGUUUCGUUGGUUCGAAUCCUGGGCGCGGACAUGGCACUGCUCAUCAAACCACGCUGAGGCAGCGUCCCACAUGCCACAACUAGAAGGACCCACAACGAAGAAUAUACAACUAUGUACUGGGGGGCUUUGGGGAGAAAAAGGAAAAAAAUAAAAUCUUUAAAAAAAAAUUCAGAUUCUGUUGUGG
rnacentral:lncRNA from 1 species